ACUUUGAACAAGAUUAGAUGUGUAAUAGGUCGUCACAAUAGUUCGAACGUGUAACUGACUUUUCGGCACAAGUUCAGGGAAAAAUUUAUGCCUUUUCCCUAAAUAUAUAAGAUUCAUUGAUUUGCUAAGUGGACACAUGCAUGCCAAUGUUUUAAAAAGUAACUGGUGUUGGUUGAUGCAGUGGAGGAAAGCCGAGUCCAUGUUGAUGCUGCUCACUUGCAACGCUUUUCUUCUCAAUCUAAUCGAGACAAACCAAACAUCUCAUAGGAAUAUAAGAUCUCCGUAUACUCUAUCCCCUCAUUCUCCAGUAU
rnacentral:lncRNA from 1 species